rnacentral:rRNA from 1 species
UUGAUUAAUAAAAAUUAUUAAAUUUACAUGUAAAAAAAAUAUUUUUAUAUUUUAGUAUUAUUUUAUGAAAAAAUGAUUAAUAUUAUAGUGGAUUAGUAUAGUGGUAGAACUUUAAUAUAAUAAUUAAAGAAAAAUUUAAUUUUUGUACCUUGUGUAUCAGGGUUUAUUAAUUUAGGUUUAUUAAGAUAGAAUUCUCGAUUUUAAAAGAGCGAAUUAUUUAUAUAUUUUAUUGUAAAAUAAAUAUUUAUAAUAAAUAAUUAGUAAUGAAAUGUUAUUCGUUUUUAAAUAUAUCUAGUUUUUAAAGAAAAAAGUUCAAUUUUAUUUGUAUAAAUAUUUUAUUUUAAGUAAUAAAAAUAGUAUUUUUUAUAAAUUAAAUUAUAAGGGAUAAGCUUUAUAAUUGAAAAUUAUAAGUUAAUUAAAUUAUUUUAAUUUGUAGGAUUAGUAAUUUCUUUCAUUUAAUUUGUUAUAAUUAAUUAAAAAAAAGCAAAAAUUUAUAUUGGCUUUAAGUUUUUUAUUUAAAUAUUAAAUUUAAUUAUAUAGUUUAAGUAAUAAUGAUAAAAUUAGUAUAAUAUUUUGUUUUAAAUUAUUAUUAUUAUUAGGUUAUAAUAAGGAAUUCGGCAAAUGUAUUUUUCGCCUGUUUAUUAAAAACAUGUCUUUUUGAGUAUUAUUUAAAGUCUGGCCUGCCCACUGAUUUAUUUAAAUGGCCGCAGUAUUUUGACUGUGCAAAGGUAGCAUAAUCAUUAGUUUUUUAAUUAAGAACUGGAAUGAAAGGUUGAACGAGAAAAUAACUGUCUCUUUAUAAAUUAUUUAAAAUUUUAUUUUUAAGUUAAAAAGCUUAACUAAUAUUAAAAGACGAGAAGACCCUAUAGAGUUUUAUAUAAUAAUAAAUAAUUAUUUAAAUAGUAUUAUUAAAUGAUUAUUUAUUAUUAUAUUUAGUUGGGGUGAUUGAAAAAUUUAAUAAACUUUUUUUUUAUAAAAACAUUAAUAUAUGAUUGGUUGAUCCAUUAAUAAUGAUUAUAAGAUUAAAUUACCUUAGGGAUAACAGCGUUAUUUCUUUGAAGAGUUCAAAUCGAUAAAGAAGUUUGCGACCUCGAUGUUGGAUUAAAAUUAAAUUUUGGUGUAGAAGCUAAAAGAUUAGGUCUGUUCGACCUUUAAAAUUUUACAUGAUCUGAGUUUAAACCGGUGUGAGCCAGGUUGGUUUCUAUCUUUAAUUAAUUUUAAUAUUUUAGUACGAAAGGACCAAAUAUUUAUAAAAUUUAUUAAUAAAUGAAUAUUAUUAAUUA